AGCACUGGAUUAACCAGUGGUUUAUUAGUGGAAUGGUGACAUAGACACCCUUCUAAAAGUGUAGUUCGCUGCUCAGUUCGGAUUAGGAGUCAGGUUCUGAGAUCACUUCGAGCUUUUUAAGUCCUCGGCAAUUUUGGCCGAUAAAGGUAAAAUGAGGACUGCGGCAACUGCAGCAAGUCAGGAUGAAGGCCAGAAGUCACUCUCCAUCCACCCUUAGGAGUAAACUGGCAAUGUUGCUUAGACUUCUCAUUUGAGAGCUUGCCGAAGAUUCAUGGGAAAAAGGAAUGCAAUCUAACACCUGUGCUUCAUUCAACUGUAUUGGAGGUUAUGAGAGACUUCAACAUGUGGUGACCGUGUGUGAAGAAUGGCAAAGGAUUUAAAGCUUGAAUCAUGGAAAAGAUAAGUUAUUCCAGAUAACUUAGGAAGAAGAACAAUAAAAAUGACACACUCUUUCCCUGCAGACAGAAAGAAUUUUGUGAAAAUAAUCAACCAGUGGUAAAUUAACAGCUAAUUGUUUUGUUGAAUUGACUUUUAAACAUCGGUUUUGUCUUUCUUUUUUUAUUUGUUAAUUCAACUGUGACAGUCACAUUAUUAUGUAGAUGUAUGAAGAAAAAUCAAGUUUUGGUACAAUAUUUUUUAUCUUUUUAUUUCAUGUGAAUUUAAGGCAAGGCAUAACAUUUUCAAAUGUAAAAUUUUUUUAGUCAUUGAAUUUUAAAGAACUUGUAAAUAAAUGAUUUAUAAUUUGUAUAAUUUCAUUUUUUUUUAAUUGUUAAGUUUGUAAAAGUCUGAAACAACAAUAGCUGAUGUACACAGUGAUAGGCAGAUUAUGUAACCAUUAAUGCAAAAUCCCUCUAACCAUUAAGGCGGAA